AUUGAACGCUGGCGGCAGGCCUAACACAUGCAAGUCGAACGAGUGGCGGACGGGUGAGUAAUGUCUGGGAAACUGCCUGAUGGAGGGGGAUAACUACUGGAAACGGUAGCUAAUACCGCAUACCAUCGGAUGUGCCCAGAUGGGAUUAGCUAGUAGGUGGGGUAAAGGCUCACCUAGGCGACGAUCCCUAGCUGGUCUGAGAGGAUGACCAGCCACACGGGGACGGAGACACGGCCCAGACUCCUAAGGGAGGCAGCAGUGGGGAAUAUUGCACAAUGGGCGCAAGCCUGAUGAAGCCAUGCCGCGUGUAUGAAGAAGGCCUUCGGGUUGUAAAGUACUGUCAGCGGGGAGGCGUUACCCGCCGAAGAAGCACCGGCUAACUCCGUGCCAGCCGCCGCGGUAAUAC
rnacentral:rRNA from 1 species